rnacentral:rRNA from 1 species
UACGGAGGGUGCGAGCGUUGUCCGGAAUCACUGGGCGUAAAGGGCGCGUAGGCGGUGCUCUAAGUUAGAUGUGAAAACUCUGGGCUCAACCCAGAGCCUGCAUCUAAAACUGGAGUGCUAGAGUUCUGGAGGGGGUAGCGGAAUUCCUGGUGUAGCGGUGAAAUGCGUAGAUAUCAGGAGGAACACCGGUGGCGAAGGCGGCUACCUGGACAGAAACUGACGCUGAGGCGCGAAAGCUAGGGGAGCAAACAGG